CCUACGGGAGGCAGCAGUGGGGAAUAUUGCACAAUGGGGGAAACCCUGAUGCAGCGACGCCGCGUGAAGGAAGAAGUAUUUCGGUAUGUAAACUUCUAUCAGCAGGGAAGAAAAUGACGGUACCUGCCUAAGAAGCAGCGGCUAACGACGUGCCAGCAGCAGCGGUAAUACGUAGGGGGCAAGCGUUAUCCGGAUUUACUGGGUGUAAAGGGAGCGUAGGCGGUGCAGCAAGUCAGAAGUGAAAGCCCGGGGCUCAACUCCGCGACUGCUUUUGAAACUGUUGAACUAGAUUGCAGGAGAGGUGAGUGGAAUUCCUAGUGUAGCGGUGGAAUGCGUAGAUAUUAGGAGGAACACCAGCGGCGAAGGCGGCUUACUGGACUGUAAAUGACGCUGAGGCUCGAAAGCGUGGGGAGCAAACAGGAUUAGAUACCCGAGUAGUC
rnacentral:rRNA from 1 species